CGUUUCCUGACUCCAGCCUUCACCGUUCCCUGUCUUGGCUUCUCCUCUGGCCGGUUCUGUGUUUCCACCGACUUCCUGGAGUGCAGCUAGUCGCUGAACAUAUGGGCCUUAUGACGGACCACAGCAGAGCGCAGAUCUCGGGCGUAACAGGGAGCG